rnacentral:rRNA from 1 species
AGAUUGAACGCUGGCGGCGUGCCUAACACAUGCAAGUCGAGCGGUAACAGGUGUAGCAAUACAUGCUGACGAGCGGCGAACGGGUGAGUAAUGCUUUGGAAUCUUCCCAGUAGUGGGGAAUAACCAGUCGAAAGAUUGGCUAAUACCGCAUACGUCUGUAAAGGGAAAGCGGGGGCUCGUAAGACCUCGCGCUAUUGGAUGAGCCAAAGUCGGAUUAGCUAGUUGGUGGGGUAAUGGCCUACCAAGGCGACAAUCCGUAGCUGGUCUGAGAGGACGACCAGCCACACCGGAACUGAGACACGGUCCGGACUCCUACGGGAGGCAGCAGUGGGGAAUAUUGGACAAUGGGGGAAACCCUGAUCCAGCGACGCCGCGUGUGUGAAGAGGCCUGCGGUUGUAAAGCACUUUAGUGGGACAAAAGCUACGGAUUAAUACUCUGUGGUCUUGAUUUAACCCAAGAAAAAGCACCGGCUAACUCUGUGCCAGCAGCCGCGGU